rnacentral:rRNA from 1 species
UACGGAGGGUGCAAGCGUUGUCCGGAAUCACUGGGCGUAAAGGGCGCGUGAGGCGGCUCAUGAAGGCUGUGGUGAAAGUCCGGGGCUCAACCUCGGAUCGGCCGUGGCGACUCGUGGGCUGGAGCACUGUAGAGGCGGGUGGAAUUCCGGGUGUAGCGGUGGAAUGCGUAGAGAUCCGGAAGAACACCAGUGGCGAAGGCGGCC